CUGGGACAGAGGCGGCCUUCCUGAUGAGCUUAUCCAACUGAAAGGCUGUUGUUCCAACAGACAACAUGGCCGACGCCACCUUCAGAAGCACCUCUUGCACUCCAAAGAUCUCUGUCUCCUCAGCAGGUUGAGUCUGCUCUCAGCCUUCCUGUAAAGACCAUCAGUGAACACCCAGGUACUUAUACUUCAGUGUGUGUGACCUGAAGGUCCAGCUGCUGGAUCACAGCAUGAGAGAAGCUCACUCAGAGAUGGAGAGAGGGGGAAGAAAGAGCACAGGGAGGAAGAAGAAAGUUGGAUUUAAACAUAAGGACCGUGCUGACUUUGAACUGAAAUCAGCCAGUGAGAGUGAAACAAUCAUUGUGUGGACGCCCCGGAGCGUCGGCAGCUCUCCGUCGGGGACUUCCUGCUUUCACGCUGAGUAUGAGCUGAUGCAGAGCAUCGUUUCCAGGUUCAGCAGCUAAAGUAAAGAGUGGUGAUAUAAAAGGAGUGCAGUGCUUUUCUUUCUUAUCUGACACCAAAGAGUUCAGAUGAACUGAAUAAAAACAGCAGGGGGUCACAUGUUUCACCGACAGGGUGAGCCUUUUCACGCUGCUUUUGAUGUGAGACAUCAGUGCGGCUCACUGUAACACACUCUGUAUCCCGAUGAACUCUGUGAGUCAGGCGUUCAGCAGAAACGAGGCGGCGAGCUGCUGCAGCGUUCAGCCUGCUUCACCAACAUCAUCAAAGGAGUUUUACCCGAGCUGAUGAUGGCUGCUUCGACCAGAGAGCUCCUUCGAAGAGGUGAAAUGAUGAAGAUGAAGAGAGCUGCUUCGCUACAUGUCUGACAAAUAUAUAUACAGAUGCAUUUCUUUAUGAUCUCUGCCUUUAUUAAGAAACUCUAUCAGAAUCAUGUUUCUGUCUGUAAGAGCAUCACGUAAGCCCAGGUGUGUGUGUGUGUGUCUGUGUGUGUGUGUGUGUGUGUGUGUGUGUGUGUG